GACGAACGCUGGCGGCGUGCCUCAAACAUGCAAGUCGAGCGGGGAACUUUUAAAAGCGCAAGCUUUUAAAAGUUCCUAGCGGCGAACGGGUGAGUAACACGUGGGCAACCUACCCAGAAGACCGGGAUAACGGCUCGAAAGGGCCGCUAAUACCGGAUAAUGUCGGGGUACCGCAUGGUACUCCGAAGAAAGGGGAAACCCGCUUUUGGGAUGGGCCCGCGUCCCAUCAGCUAGUUGGUGAGGUAACGGCUCACCAAGGCGACGACGGGUAGCCGGUCUGAGAGGAUGGUCGGCCACACUGGGACUGAGACACGGCCCAGACUCCUACGGGAGGCAGCAGUUGGGAAUCUUGGGCAAUGGGCGAAAGCCUGACCCAGCGACGCCGCGUGAGGGAAGAAGGCCUUCGGGUCGUAAACCUCUGUCAUGGGGGAAGAAGCGAAGUGACGGUACCCCAACGAGGAAGCCCCUGCUAACUACGUG
rnacentral:rRNA from 1 species